rnacentral:rRNA from 1 species
UACAGAGGUCUCAAGCGUUGUUCGGAUUCAUUGGGCGUAAAGGGUGCGUAGGCGGCGCGGUAAGUCGGGUGUGAAAUCUCGGAGCUUAACUCCGAAACUGCAUUCGAUACUGCCGUGCUUGAGGACUGGAGAGGAGACUGGAAUUUACGGUGUAGCGGUGAAAUGCGUAGAUAUCUGGAGGAAUACCGGUGGCGAAGGCGGCAUCCUGGACCGGCAUUGACGCUGAACAGCGAAAGCUAGGGGAGCAAACGGG